CCCUUAGAUGUUCUGGGCCGCACGCGCGCUACACUGAUGCAUUCAACGAGUCUAAAACCUGCUCUGAUAGGGGUGGGUAAUCUUUUGAAUGUGCAUCGUGAUUGGGAUAGAUGAUUGCAAUUUUUCAUCUUCAACGAGGAAUGCCUAGUAAACGCGAGUCAUCAGCUUGCAUUGAUUACGUCCCUGCCCUUUGUACACACCGCCCGUCGCUCCUACCGAUUGAAUGAUCCGAUGAAUAUCAUGGAUUGAGGAUGCAAGCAGGUUCGCCUGUCUUCAUCUUCGAGAAGUGAAGUAAAUCUUAUCAUUUAGAGGAAGGAGAAGUCGUAACA
rnacentral:rRNA from 1 species